UACGAAGGGGGCGAGCGUUGUUCGGAGUUACUGGGCGUAAAGGGCGCGUAGGCGGCGAUCCAAGUUAGGCGUGAAAGCCCCGGGCUUAACCUGGGAAUUGCGCUUAAGACUGGACUGCUUGAGUGCGGGAGAGGUGAGUGGAAUUCCCAGUGUAGAGGUGAAAUUCGUAGAUAUUGGGAAGAACACCAGUGGCGAAGGCGGCUCACUGGCCCGCAACUGACGCUGAGGCGGCGAAAAGCGUGGGGAGCAAACAGG
rnacentral:rRNA from 1 species